rnacentral:lncRNA from 1 species
CUGGAAACAGAACUCAAGAUGCUAUUUGAAUAACUUAUGUGUCUUAUAUGAUUUUCCUGUAUAUAUACAUAUAGUAGAUUACUUUAUUAAAGAAAUUUUGAGGAAGGAAUUUGAGUUCUUUUAGAAAUCAAAUUUUUGUUUAUCAGAUAGACAAGCGUUAUGAAGAAUAAUUAAAGAUCAGUUCGAUCAAGUAUGAUCGAGAUCUACGUACAAUGAUUAUAUG